GGGGGGGGGGGGGGGGGGGCCGGGGAGGUGCGGGGCGGGCGGCGGCGCGGUGAGAGCGUGCGCUGGCGGGGGGGGGGGGGCGGGCGGGUGAGGAAUACAGCGGGAUCUACGUUUUCGUGGGGGAUAACGUAGGGAAACUUACGCUAGUACCGCAUACGACCUACGGGUGAAAGCAGGGGAUCUUCGUACCUUGCGCGAUUGAAUGAGCCGAUGUCGGAUUAGCUAGUUGGCGGGGUAAAGGCCCACCAAGGCGACGAUCCGUAGCUGGUCUGAGAGGAUGAUCAGCCACACUGGAACUGAGACACGGUCCAGACUCCUACGGGAGGCAGCAGUGGGGAAUAUUGGACAAAGGGCGCAAGCCUGAUCCAGCCAUACCGCGUGGGUGAAGAAGGCCUUCGGGUUGUAAAGCCCUUUUGUUGGGAAAGAAAAGCAGCAGGUUAAUACCCCGCUGUUCUGACGGUACCCAAAGAAUAAGCACCGGCUAACUUCGUG
rnacentral:rRNA from 1 species